rnacentral:rRNA from 1 species
GAUGAACGCUGGCGGCGUGCCUAACACAUGCAAGUCGAGCGGACGGACGAGGCUUGCUCGUUUCUGAUGUGGCGGACGGGCGAGUAAGUAAUAGGUGGAUAACCUACCUAUAAGGCUAAGGUCAGGGCAGGAGAGCGUAUCUAACACCCGGUAAUAUUUUGAACGUGAUGGUUCGAAAGUGAUCACGGUUCUUGCUGAGACUUAGUCGGAUUAGCUAGUUGGUGGGGUAACGGCUUACCAAGGCGGCGAUGCAUAGCAGACCUGAGAGGGUGAUCGGACACACUGGAACUGAGACACGGUCCAGACUCCUACGGGAGGCAGCAGUAGGGAAUCUUGCGCACUGGGCGAAAGCCUGCACGAGCAACGCCGCGUGAGUGAAGAAGGUCUUCGGAUCGUAAAACUCUGUUAGUAGGGAAGACCACAUGUGUAAGUAACUGUGCAUGUUUUGACGGUACCUAAAGAGAAAGCACCGGCUAACUACGUG